rnacentral:rRNA from 1 species
GGGAGCCCCGAGAUGGGUACUGAGACAACGACCCAGGCCUUACGAGGCGCAGCAGGCGCGAGACCUCCACAAUACACGAAAGUGUGAUGGGGUUACCCAAAGUGUUCAACUUUGAACUGUGGUAGGUGAGUAAUGUUCCCUACUAGAAAGGAGAGGGCAAGGCUGGUGCCAGCCGCCGCGGUAAAACCAGCUCUUCAAGUGGUCGGGAUAAUUAUUGGGCUUAAAGUGUCCGUAGCCGGUUUAGUAAGUUCCUGGUAAAAUCGGGUAGCUUAACUAUCUAUAUGCUAGGAAUACUGCUAUACUAGAGGGCGGGAGAGGUCUGAGGUACUACAGGGGUAGGGGUGAAAUCUUAUAAUCCUUGUAGGACCACCAGUGGCGAAGGCGUCAGACUGGAACGCGCCUGACGGUGAGGGACGAAAGCCAGGGGAGCGAACCGGAUUAGAUACCCGGGUAGUCCUGGCUGUAAACGAUGCAUACUAGGUGAUGGCACGGCCAUGAGCCGUGUCAGUGCCGUAGGGAAACCGUUAAGUGUGCCGCCUGGG